rnacentral:misc_RNA from 1 species
GUAGGUGAACCUGCGGAAGGAUCAUUAACAAAUCAUUGCGGGCUUCGGCUCACAUUAACCCGGCCGCAAGGCCAGGUCUUGUAGACCUGUGUGUUGUGCUUGGUGGAUUGAUUGAUGAUGAUGAUUAUUCAUUCGACGAGCACGACUAGCAGGUCGACAUUAACGCUUGUUUGUUUGACUGUGUGAUGGAUCAAUAAAAUGACAACUUUUAACAAUGGAUCUCUUGGCUCUUGCAUCGAUGAAGAACGCA